rnacentral:rRNA from 1 species
CCUACGGGAGGCUGCAGUGGGGAAUAUUGCACAAUGGGGGAAACCCGGAUGAAGAAACGCCGCGUGAGCGAAGAAGGCCUUCGGGUCGUAAAGCCCUGUCCUAAGGGAGGAAAAAUGACGGUACUUUAGGAGGAAGCCCCGGCUAACUACGUGCCAGCAGCCGCGGUAAUACGUAGGGGGCGAGCGUUAUCCGGAAUCACUGGGCGUAAAGGGUGCGUAGGCGGCCAAUUAAGCCAGGGGUGAAAGGCUACGGCUCAACCGUAGUAAGCCUUUGGAACUGAAUGGCUUGAGUGCAGGAGAGGAGAGUGGAAUUCCUAGUGUAGCGGUGAAAUGCGUAGAUAUUAGGAGGAACACCAGUGGCGAAGGCGACUCUCUGGACUGUAACUGACGCUGAGGCACGAAAGCGUGGGGAGCAAACAGGAUUAGAUACCCCAGUAGUC